UGUACGCUUAGACACAUACGGAAGUGAGAAUAUCCACAAACUUCAGGUCCUCUACAAGGCAGGCUGUGCUGCCGGUAGGUUCAAGCUUAGAAUAAUCAAAAUCAUAGAACCAUAGAAUGGCUUGGGUUGGAAGGGACCUCAAGGAUCACGAAGCUCCAACCCCCCCACUACAGGCAGGGCCACCAACCUCCAGAUCUAAUACCAGACCAGCACCUCGCCACUCUCUAGGUAAAGAACUUUCCCCUGGUAUCCAACCUAAAUCUUCCCUCCCUCAACUUAAAACCAUUUCUCCUUGUCCUGCCAUUAUCUACCCUUGUAAAGAGUUGGCUCCCCUCCUGUUCAUAGGCUCCUUUUAGGUCCUGGAAGAUGUAAUGUUUGUUCUAAAUUGCUGCUAAUAAAUUAAACUCUUAAAAAUAAAGUAAGACGGGAAAGCUGAACUUAAUGGGAUGCUUCUGCUGAUGGAACUGUCAGACUAAUUCUGACCUCUGCCAAGAAGCAAGCAUGUUAUUCACAGCAUGGAAAGAGAAGCAACCAUAGGGGUCAAAUCAAUAUGAUUUUCAGAUGAGUGGCCCUCUCAGAUGGCUUUGUAAUUGUUAAACAUCUCAAAGAAAAAAAAAAAAGGAGAAAAAAGAGCUGUGAUUGUAUGCUACGAUAUAGUUGUAAAUUAUGAAGGAGGGACAAAGUUGUUAGCAGUUCCCUUCAGGUCCCAGAUUUUACGUAAAUCCAGAUGGCUGAACUACAGGAGUCCUUUCUUGUUUAAAGGAAAUCUGGAAACUUGAAAGCAAUUUAGCAAGAGUCAAUUAAUCAAAACUAUCAGAAGUGCGCUGGGGUGGCUGCAUACAAGGAGGAAAGCUGUGUUUUAGAGUGCCUUAGCCAAGGAUGUCAGGGAACUCCUUGAAAACUGAGUGGGAAGUCCUGGAGUGUUCAAUGGGCUCUGAGUGUGGCAGUGAUGGCGCUCCAGGACACUGGCUGCCGUUAGAUGCGUGAGAGCAGACAUGACCAUGCCUGGACCACUCUGGUGGUCAUGCCUGGACUCCUUUCACUCUGGGUAAGCCAAGGGCUCCAUCUGUAUGAAGCACAAGCAUCCCCUGGGAGCCCAACUUGGAUGGAGAGGAGGGUUUUGAAGGCUGAGAAGAGCCGAACAGAACGGCCUUUCCUGGAACAGGAACAGGUUGCCCAAGGAGGCUGUGGAUGCCCCAUCCCUGGAGGCAUUCAAGGCCAGGCUGGAUGUGGCUCUGGGCAGCCUGGUCUGGUGGUUGGCGACCCUGCACACCGCGGGGGGUUGGAACUAGAUGAGCAUUGCAGUCCUUUUCAACCCGGGCCAUUCUAUGAUUCUGUGAUCCUGUGAUUCCUUCUGGGAGCAGCAUGCUGCCUCACCUUCAAAGUAAACAUUAACAGCUAUCAGGAGAAGAGGGAUUAAUAAGACUUGAAGUGGUGGCAUUUGAGAUUUAGGCUUUCCUUGGUCAUCGGUGAUCUCUUCAGUGACGCCUGAGAUGGCUGUCAGCUCCUCGCCCAUCUCAGGCAGCAGAUGCCUGCAGGGCAUCCCCAGGCCGAGCUUUCCAGCACCGCCAUACACAGAUGGUGAAAUAUUCCCCUUCCCGCGAUAAGCAAUGCGUGUAGCACGUCCUCCUCGUUUUGGGCAUUGGCCUAUCAAAGGUGCUCAGGGCCAGGCUGGAUGGGACCUAAGCUGGCGGGGCAGCCGGCCCGUGGAUGUCCCCCUUUUACUUCUCACACAGUGAGAACCCAAGCUGCUGUUUAAAGCCGCACAGCUCCGCUCUAGGACGGAGAUCCCGAAGAACCCAACGGACGGCGCCCAACGGCCGCAGCCCGUCCGCGCGCCGCGCCGUCACCUAGGC
ensembl:lncRNA